GAUGAACGCUGGCGGCGUGCCUAAUACAUGCAAGUCGAGCGAACGGACGCGAAGCUUGCUUUUCUGAUGUUAGCGGCGGGCGGGUGAGUAACACGUGUAUAACCCACCUAUAAGACUGGUAUAACUUCGGGAAACCGGAUCUAAUACCGUAUAAUAUUUUGAACCGCAUGGUUCAAAAGUGAAAUACGGUCUUGCUGUCACGUAUAGAUGCAUCCGCGCUUCAUUGGCUGGUUGGUAAGUUAACGGCCUACCAAGGCAACGAUGCAUAGCCGAACUGUGAGAGUGAUAGGCCGCCCUGGAACUGAGACACGGUCCAGAGUACUACGGGAGGGAGCAGUAGGGUAUGUGCCGCAACGGGCGAGAGCAUGGCACAGUAAGGCGGCGCGAGUGACGACGGUCUUCGGUGCGUGAUACUGUGUUAUUAGGGAAGAACAUAUGUGUAAGUAACUGUGCACAUCUUGACGGUAACUAAUCAGAAAGCACCGGCUAACUACGUG
rnacentral:rRNA from 1 species